GUUGAAAGGCGAGUAUAAGUUUGGUACUCUUUAAUCAGGUUAGGGAAACCGGUGGAAAGCCGGUGCUGCCCCCGCAACUGUAAGCCGGACGAAAGCUUUUUUUGGCCACUGUCCCGCCCCAAAAUUACCUAAAUUAAUUUUGGGGCGGGGUGGGAAGGCCGGUUAGUAGGUUUUCUGUCUGCCUGACUUAUUGUGUACACAAAUUUAUCGGCCUUUGGCCGAUGCUACAGGCAGACAGAAGAGAUGGCAAGCCAGGAUAUCUAACCUGACCGUCAUAACGGU
rnacentral:ncRNA from 2 species